rnacentral:rRNA from 1 species
GACGAACGCUGGCGGCGUGCUUAACACAUGCAAGUCGAGCGGUAAGGCUCCUUCGGGUGUACACGAGCGGCGAACGGGUGAGUAACACGUGAGCAACCUGCCCUUCUCAUCGGAAUAAGCGUUGGAAACGACGUCUAAUGCCGAAUAUGACAACGGAUCGCAUGAUCUGUUGUGGAAAGCUCCGGCGGAGAAGGAUGGGCUCGCGGCCUAUCAGCUUGUCGGUGGGGUAACGGCCCACCAAGGCGACGACGGGUAGCCGGCCUGAGAGGGUGACCGGCCACACUGGGACUGAGACACGGCCCAGACUCCUACGGGAGGCAGCAGUGGGGAAUAUUGGACAAUGGGCGCAAGCCUGAUCCAGCAACGCCGCGUGAGGGAUGACGGCCUUCGGGUUGUAAACCUCUUUCAGCAGGGACGAAGCGAAAGUGACGGUACCUGCAGAAGAAGGACCGGCCAACUACGUGCCAGCCGCCGCGGUAACAC